UGGAUGUCAACAAUUCCUGGUGGAUCAGCAAAUGCAGAGCAGAAACAAAUGCCAGCAAACAGGAAUGGAUAUUUGCCUUCAAAAGGAAUUAUGAAUGUGCAAGAAAUGACAAGUCAGAUUUACAGCUCUGAGAUAAAUAAAAAACCCUUUUUAACAUGCUUCAUCAAUGCUUGAAUUGCUGACCUACAUACAAGUUAAACUAAGUGGAAUUUGCUUAUCGCUAACAACGAUUUCUUCAUUGGUUGCAUUAGUAUUCUGUCUUUAAUAGCCAGCAAAAGAGGAAGUGAAGCACCAUGCUUUUCCACCUGGAUGUCUAGUUCUUUAAAAAAAAACUCCAAAUAGGGAAGUUCUAUUAGUAAUACACACGUUUCCAAGGCACAACUAAGCAUAUGUGAAAAGUACUUGGCUGGCACAACUGCUGGAGAGGGAGUCAGCCAGCAAACUUGGGGUGGAACUGAGUUUGAGUGUGUGUAUUUGCCAGCUGCAUUUCUGCUGUUCAGUGACCUGUAUGCCUUGCACUGUUAGAACAUGCAGAUGAGCCUUCCCUGGAAAGGAGCAGAAAUUCCUUAGCCAGAUGGCAGAAUUAAAAUGACCUUCACCUGGCCUUAAUCUAUGUGAAGCUGUAUGGCCAUCCGAGAUUUACAAAAAUAAUAACAAUAGAAGAGGAAAAUGUACACCCUUGGCACAAAGCAAAGGAAACCUCUUUUAUUCUCAAAGGGCUUCUCAGUUCAAUGACUUGGAAUUCUAUUGCAGAGGCUUUUUGUCUUAUUGUUGUACAAUUUGUAAUACAGUAGCAAUGUAUCUAACUUCUGAAUGUUAGUCCAAAACUAACAGCAGUGAAAAGAACAAAAUAUUCUCUUGUUCAUAAAUAUAUUUACAAAUGCAAAGACCAAGUAUAUGAAUAUAAAUUUUAUUCUACAGUUCUAUGGUGCCAUCUCAAAAUGUCCUAAAUGCUCUCUCCAGUCUCUUACAUUAGCUGUGCUCCUUAUUCAUCAUCCUUUUCUUGUUAGUAUUGCAAAGCCCAGUGGGCAUCAUAGCAGCUUCAUAGGCGGAGUUUAUAAGUGAAGGUGGCUAUCCUCAGGCCUGUAGCAAGGGGGGGGGGGUUAGGGGUUCAACCCCCCCCCAAAAAAAAAUUCAGGUUAAAAAAAAACCUGGUUUACUCAUGAAUUUUAACUGGUUAACCAAAUCCCCAUGCUAAUUC
rnacentral:lncRNA from 1 species